rnacentral:rRNA from 1 species
GACGAACGCUGGCGGCGUGCUUAACACAUGCAAGUCGAGCGAAUGGAUUAAGAGCUUGCUCUUAUGAAGUUAGCGGCGGACGGGUGAGUAACACGUGGGUAACCUGCCCAUAAGACUGGGAUAACUCCGGGAAACCGGGGCUAAUACCGGAUAACAUUUUGAACCGCAUGGUUCGAAAUUGAAAGGCGGCUUCGACUGUCACUUAUGGAAGGACCCGCGUCGCAUUAGCUAGUUGGUGAGGUAACGGCUCACCAAGGCAACGAUGCGUAGCCGACCUGAGAGGGUGAUCGGCCACACUGGGACUGAGACACGGCCCAGACUCCUACGGGAGGCAGCAGUAGGGAAUCUUCCGCAAUGGACGAAAGUCUGACGGAGCAACGCCGCGUGAGUGAUGAAGGCUUUCGGGUCGUAAAACUCUGUUGUUAGGGAAGAACAAGUGCUAGUUGAAUAAGCUGGCACCUUGACGGUACCUAACCAGAAAGCCACGGCUAACUACGUGCCAGCCGCCGCAGUAA